GACGAACGCUGACGGCGUGCUUAACACAUGCAAGCCGAGCGGAAAGGCCCUUCGGGGUACUCGAGCGGCGAACGGGUGAGUAACACGUGAGCAACCUGCCCUUAGCCCCGGGAUAGCUCCGGGAAACCGGAAUUAAUACCGGAUACGACCACGGUGGACAUCUGCUGUGGUGGAAAGGAUUCCGGCUAGGGAUGGGCUCG
rnacentral:rRNA from 1 species